GGGCCGGGAUCCGCGCCAGCCAAUCCGCGAGCCGCGCCGCGGGCUCAUUAGCAUGGGCUGCGCUGGCGCCCACCUGCCGCCAGGGGGCGACGUCCGGCUCUGCCGGGGCCUGGGGAGUCUCAGGCUGAGGCCCGCGCCUUGAGGACCCGCGAGUGAAGGAUCUGUCGCAAAGGGCGAGCCUGGGGCCGCACCACUAAGCCUGGGGAAGUGAAAACAGUAAACCAUGGGUUUUGGAUCGCUGGUUAGCCGGCCAAGUCACUGGAUGGCCCUUAGCAAAUUGGAUAAACUUUCUUAACGCCAGUUUCCUCAUCCAACCGGAGGAAAGCAAGUGAGUGGGUGGGAACUGACACCUGUCUGUCAGGUGCUGUGAGACCGGAAUGAAUAACCGAGUCAACUGGCAGUGGAGUGUGGUUGGCGGUGAAGAAUGCUGCUCACCUGCCAGGUGGGCUGGCUCUGAACGCCGGAUUUGCCACUAGCUCUAGGAUCUCAAGCGAGUUAGGGAACCUCUCUGGGCUUCCUUUUCCCCCAUCUGAUCAAUGAGGAUACUAUACCUCCUCGUGGUUUUUGGGGGUUUUGUUCUAGUUUGGGUUUUAAGAUUACUAAGCUAAUAAUGCAUGUGAAAACACUUACAACCGGGACUGAGACGAGGUGAAUGUCACGUAAAUCAUAGUUUCUCGUAUGUCUCUUGGGACUCUUUCUUAAAAAUCACCAUGCCUGGUGGCUCAUUAUGCAUACGGUCAGAAUAAUAUGAGAACUGUUGGAGUAGUAAAUGGAGAUUGGAAUGGGCUAAGCAAAGUAAUUUCAGAAUCGUUUUAAAUGUGUGUGUACCUGUGACUGUUUCCUUAUUCUCUUAUUUUGUUGAUUUGGGUUUUCCCCUUUUUUCUUGAUUUGGUUAGAUGGUGAUUUAUUUCUUAUAAUGAGAUAGUGUGUGUGUUUGUGUGCAUGUGUGUGUUUACUUGAGAACCAGGUUUUAUUUAGAAUUGGAACUUCAAGAUCAUCUAGUCUUUGGAUAUUUAUGCUGCUAAAAUUAGUUAACAGACGCAAGAGGAGCUGUAAACUAGAUAAAAACAUUCAGUACAUAGAGUGACCCCCUGUGUCGCUUUGCACCUGUCGCCCUGAAGUAGUUCGUGGCAUCCUUUUGCACUCACAUCCAUUUACUAUGGGAUGAUAAAUCAGAUGGUCACUCUAACCACAUAUCCGUUUCUCACUCUACAAUGAUCAGAUCAAGCCUCCCCAUUUCCUAGAUGAGGGAGACAUCGUGAGGCAGUGGAAAGAGAAUGUGACUAGGACUCAGGACAUUUGGAUUCUGAUCUCAAAUUUAUUCCUGACCCACUGGGGGACUUUAGGCAAGGCACAUCCCCUCUCGAAGCCUCAGUCCCUGGUCAGAGUUGUUCAGAGCUCCUCAAAGUUUGCUCUACAAGCUGUGCUUCUCAAAGUGUAAUGUACAAACCAGUCUCCUGGGGACCUUGUUAAAAUGCAGAUUCUGAUUCAUGGAGUUCAGGGUGAGGCUGAGAUUCUGCAUUCCUAACAGGAUCCUGCUGAUGCCCAUGCUGACUUCAAUCUGAGCAGCAAACAUCUAAAAAGACUUAUUCCACAGACUACAAAUCAGUAUGACAUUUUAAAAAAUAAGAAGCAGAUUACAGUGAAAUACAUUCAGAAAUCUACAUGCCUAAUACAUUUAAAAGGAAUUAUUUGCUGCAGGGCUCCCCAAACCUCUAGCAUACUUCCAAACAGAAUGACUUGAGCAGCUCAGAAGAAAAGUUUUUCAGAAAGACAAGGUCUUUAUUUUAUAAACUAAUGCAACAGAGGUAAGACAGCAGCCAGUUUUCCCACGCUUACCCUCAACCCCUCUCCCAGACGAAUAGAUGAAGUCUCUGAUUGCUUGCCAUACUUAAACCUCGUUGCAAGGAAAACAGUUUCACCCACAGCUCCCUCCACAGCCCCACCGCACCCACUGGCUCAUAUUUUGCACCCAUGUCAUGUGACUUGACCCAUGGCUAACUGACCAGAGACACUGGAGUUCCUGACCCAGGCCACCAGUUCACACACUGGCCAAGAACCUGCAACAAAGGAUGAACUGGACCAACCAGAUUAUCACUCUUGGAAAUAGCCACUUGAGCCAGCUAGGAGAGGUGGCCAAAUCUGAAAAGAAGCUCCAACGUGGAAUCAGGCCCAUGAUGAAGCAAAACCACAGCUCGACUCAGAAGUGAGAGGAUGUCUCCUUCCCGCAAGCCUGAAUCUCCUCUCUCCUCGCUGCAUCUCCAUCAUUUCCAGGAAGCCUUUGGAACAGGAUGCAAAUGCAGCUCUUUCCAUCCAGCCCGGCAUCCUGCUUCCAGAUGCAAGAGGCUGAGCAGGCCACUGGGAUAGUAUUUAAGCGGCUGUGACCACCAUGUCCCCAUUUGGAAACUGGAGCCCAGGGACCGCCCUCCCCCUCCCCUGUCCCGGCCUUUAAAGUGGUCUGAAUAAUACAUUACACUUUUAUUCGUCUUCCUCGCUAGAUGCAAGCACUUUACCGGAACCCUGUCAUAUUCAUCUUUAUGGCCUGAGGUUCUGCUCCUGGUAGGAGCUCAGCAAAUGUUCGGUAAAAUGAAUUUUUAAAGUAAUUAUUGAAUCAUCAAGUCAAUGUUUGGAUAAACCAGUCAGAGUGAGACUGUUCAUGAAUCUGCCUAGAAAAUACAUUUCUUCAUACAGUGCUGUUGUCUUUGUCGCUUGGCCUGGAAAAAGCUUUCCCGUAUAUACAUGUGAGAAGUGCCACAACCAGCUGUCUGAAUGCUUGAGUGCGAGCUAAGGGAGGCGGUAGAUCUGGGAGCAUUUAUCGAGCCCUCAUUAUUGCACAUCGUGGUGGGCAUCAAAGGUGAUAUACACAGUCACUAGAAAGAGAGUCUGCUUGUCUCAGGGAGCCAAGAUGCCCACAGAACAGCACAAAUAGCACAGGGAAGAGUGGUGAGGGCACAGGCUUUAGAGACAGGCUGGGUUCCCAUCCUGCUCUGCCACAUCCGUGCUGUGUGCCCUAAACACGUUACUCAACUUCUCUCUGUCUCAAUUUCCUUAAAUGUAAGAUGGGAAUCAUACUAAUCAUAGUACCUACUUCAUAGGGCCACUUCUGAGGAUUGAAUGGAAUAUGUGUGAAGCACUGAAAAUAGUUUCUGGCCCUUUAUCGGGGAUAAUUGUUGUUAUUAUUAUUAUUGACUAUACUGUUAAAUGAGAUAUUAUAUAUAAAGUGCUAAGCAGUGCCUGGCACUUAUCAAGCACUCGGCAAUGUUAACAGCUAUUAUUAUUAUUAUCAUUUUUAUUUUUAAGUUCUGAAUUAGUUAUCUGUUGCUGUGUAGCAAAUUACCCCCAAAUUUAGCAGCUUAAUACAAUAAACACUUUUUAUCUCCAGUAGUUUCUGUGGGUCAGGAAUCUGGCAACAACAUAUAGCUGCAUGGUUCUAGCUCAGGAUCUCUCAAGGGGUGCAGACAGGCUGUUGCCUGGGGCUUGACGAGCAUCUGUUCCAAGAUGGCUUACAUGGCUGGCAAGUUGAUGCUGGCUAUUGGCAGGAGGCCUCAAUUCUUCCCCAGGUUGACCCUUGUACAGGGCCACUUAAGGGGCCUCACAAUACGGCGGCUGCUUCUCCUCUGGUGAGUAAUCCAAGAGAACAAGGCGGAACCCAUAAUGUCUUUCGUGAAACUUUGUGCACAAUAAUCUAUUAGUGACACUGGUCAGCCCUGUUUAUUUUGGGAGGGGCUACAUGAGGGUGUGAAGACCAGGAGUGGAGACUCGCUGUCCUGGAGGCUGACUACUGCAGGUCCUAAAUAUGAGUUCCACUGGAGUUCGGAAGAGGGAGAAAAUUGAAGGUUAGGGCAUUCAGAGAAUGUUCUGAUUUUUUUAAGCUGGAUCUUAGAGAGACGUCCUUCAUCAUUUCUUUUUCCUCACAUUCUUUACUUCCACAGCUCUGGGAAAGAGGACUUUUACAAUCAGAAGGGCAGGAGGGAAGCAGGGAAAGUAUGAGGAAAAGUUUAAAAGAGGUGACAGGACCUAUUUGAGGGAUAGUAAUGGGGAGACUGACAUUGGGAAGGAAAAACGUCUAGAAAUAGGGUGAAGGAGGCAGCCUGGGCCUGCCCAAGGAGAGCUCCCAAAGCCGAGUAAAUACGUUUAAACUCGCUGAGGUAGAAAGUAAACAUUAAAGGAACUCGGCUUUGGCUGAACACCUUUUCAAAGUGCCUGCAGGCUUGUUUGAUGUGGGGGAUUUGAGGCUGGGUAACGGAUUUUUGGAGCUGGAAAGUAUUCUCCUCUAAGGGACAUUCGCUUCAAUGCGAGCAUGCCCUGGCGAGGUCAAGGCAACACCAGGAAACGGACUUUAAUAGCUUCCUUAUAUCAGGGUAGGAAGCUCGAGUUGAUAAGAAAGUUGGACUCCCGCAUCCCGGUUGGAGGAGGAGCCUCCCCAGAGGAAACGUUGGAGUGGGAGAUAGUCUGUGUUUACACAGCACGCUGGCAAUGUCUGCAGUUUAUACAAACUGCAUCCUUGGCACGGCUGAAGACAGAACCGCCUAACCUAGAAAAACCCACAGCUGGUGCCCAGCCAGCACCAGGAGGAAGUGUCUGCCCAGACCCAGCCUGCUGGGGGCUCAGAGCCGCCUGGACCCCUUGGGGGUGGGGGCUCCCCUGCACACCGCUGCCCUGACACUGGACACUGCAGUGCCGGGCAGGGCCGUGACAGUCACUUAAGCAUCCCCUUCGCGUCCUGCACGGACUACCUGUUCACCUCUUCCAGUCAUUCCAGUCAGCAACAGGGAGUGUGUCAUGACACCCCUGAGACAUGACUGUGGCCCGCUCAUCAAGCUCAUAACGAACCUUAACGUUUGUGGAUCAGUGGGGGUCCCCAAGUGUUCCCACUACGACCCAAAUGAUUCGCAGACCCUGUGGUGCACUGUGCUGCUGAGCGGGGUGGCAUGAGGCAGGCCUUUCUGGAUUUGAAUCAGCACCAUCCCUUGAGGGUGACCUUGGCGACUGCCCUUUACCUCUCAGAGCUUCAGUUUCCCCAUCUAGGAGACGGGGAGACGGCUAACAGAUAAAAAGUCCUUGAACAGGGACCAGCAUGUAGCAAGAGCUCAUAGACAACGACCACCACCACAAUCUCAUUAUUACUCCGUUAUUAUUCCAUGCCUCCUAGUCUUCAUCCAGUCAGCCCAGAAGGCCCUCUUUCCCAUAAGCCCUUUCUCUUCUCUCAAAACUCAACUCAAAUACCACACACCUGCUUUCAGGGUGGCCCCAUGCCGAGCUCCUAGGCUAGUCGAGAAGCUCUAACGCUCGUGGCCCUGGGCAGCUGUGCCUGUUCCCAUCAUGGCACAGAGAACGUAGCACAGUGAUGGCUGGUUGACCAGUUGGCGUCACCCACUGUGAACUCCUUGUAAACUCAUUCUGCUUUCUACUCCGCAAUGUGUAGCACACUGCCUGGCCCGGCAGGCACUCCCCACACGUCAGACAACGCAGUGUUGGGCUGGUUCCAUAGUCCAUAGGUCAGUCCCUAACUGUGCCAGCGGCCCCAGCAGGUUUGCUUCUGGCCUGGACCAUCUGCACGUGGAGACUGGAGACUGCAGUGACUCAGGCACGACUGGAGGAUUAGAGAAGCCGGGGCCAUGGGGGAGGGGUGAGCAGCUUCUUUUCCAGCAGAGCCUUCCCCGUACAACACAGCAAAAACUGAAGUCAUGGCAGAAGUUAUGCUUUUCCCAGGGAAGAUAGUAGGGGUAUGAAGCUACCCAGGGAGAGGGGGGAUUGCAGCCUAGACCUUUCCUCUGACUUCUGAAAAGUCCUAAAUUUGGCUCCCAACACCUAAAGGAGGUCCCUAGAACUAAGGAGUGUCUUCACAAUCUCAGAGACUUUGGACAAAGUCCAGGGUCACCGUGUGAUUCAGAGGGUGGAGUAUGUGCUAUAAAUUUGCUUUUAAAAAAAUCCUGAAGAAACACAGUCUCUUGGCCCCGGGUUCAGACAUCUGUCUUAGGGGAGUUGCUUUCUGAACAACAGAAGCACCCUGGUCCCUUAAACCUUUCGGUGUCAACCCAGUCUCCCAAGCUCGCCGUCCUCAAGCCUGCCACAAUCUUGCUCUCCCUCACUCUAAUGUGGAGUCUGGCUUUGUAAAGUCUCUGGAUGGUUCUAUUCACUCUCAGGGUAGCCAGGUCCUAUCACUGCACACCUGAGUCCCUGCAGCCACCUCUAAGCUGUUCUUCCUGGCUGCUGUCUCUCCUCUCUCCUUCCCCUCACGGGCUCCAGGGCCAGAUGAAUCACCCUAAAGUAACACCCAUGUCACCCACCCUCUUCUCAAAAAUACUCCAGUAGUU